rnacentral:rRNA from 1 species
AUUGAACGCUGGCGGCAGGCCUCACACAUGCAAGUCGAGCGGUAGCACAGAGAGCUUGCUCUCGGGUGACGAGCGGCGGACGGGUGAGUAAUGUCUGGGAAACUGCCUGAUGGAGGGGGAUAACUACUGGAAACGGUAGCUAAUACCGCAUAACGUCGCAAGACCAAAGAGGGGGACCUUCGGGCCUCUUGCCAUCAGAU